UACGAAGGGGGCUAGCGUUGCUCGGAAUCACUGGGCGUAAAGCGCACGUAGGCGGAUUGUUAAGUCAGGGGUGAAAUCCUGGAGCUCAACUCCAGAACUGCCUCCGAUACUGGCGAUCUUGGAGUCCGGGAGAGGUGAGUGGAACUCCGAGUGUAGAGGUGAAAUUCGUAGAUAUUCGGAAGAACACCCGUGGCGAAGGCGGUUCUCUGGGACGGUACUGACGCUGAGACGCGAAAGCGUGGGGAGGCGAACAGG
rnacentral:rRNA from 1 species